rnacentral:rRNA from 1 species
CAGGCGCGCAAUUACCCACUCCCGGCACGGGGAGGUAGUGACGAAAAAUAUCGACGGGGGUCUCUUAACGAGUGCCCGCCGUCGGAAUGAGUACAGCUUAAAUCCUUUGACGAGGAUCAAUUGGAGGGCAAGUUCUGGUGCCAGCAGCCGCGGUAAUACCAGCUCCAAUAGCGUAUAUCAAAGUUGUUGCAGUCAAAAAGCUCGUAGUUGGAUCUGUGAACGGAGGUGGGCGGCGACGUGGCCGGCUGGUCGCGGCCGCCCCCUCCUCAUCUUGCCGGUUUCAACUCCUUCUUCGGUGCGCUUGAUUGAGCGCCGGUCGGAGGCCGGACGGUUACCUUGUGCAAAUGAGAGUGCUCAAGACAGGCGCGGGUCCUGUAUUUGGUCAUGGAAUAAACGAAAAAGGCCACGAGUCUGUUUUUCGUUGGUUCAUAGAUCUCGAGGCAAUGAUUAAGAGAGGCAGACGGAGACAUUCGUACUACGGGGUUAGAGGUGAAAUUCUUGGAUCCCCGUAAGACGGACCACAGCGAAAGCAUUUGUCAAGAAUGUUUUCAUUAAUCAAGAACGAAAGUCGGAGGUUCAAAGACGAUUAGAUACCGUCGUAGUUCCGACCAUAAACGAUGUCGACUAGCCAUCUGCCGCCGUAGUUAUCAGUGACUCGGUGGGCUGCUCUCGGGAAACCAAAGUGUUUGGAUUCCGGGGGAAGUAUGGUUGCAAAGCUGAAACUUAAAGGAAUUGACGGAAGGGCACCACCAGGAGUGGAGCCUGCGGCUUAAUUUGACUCAACACGGGGAAGCUCACCCGGCCCGGACACCGUGAGGAUUGACAGAUUGAGAGCUCUUUCUCGAUUCGGUGGUUGGUGGUGCAUGGCCGUUCUUAGUUGGUGGAGCGAUUUGUCUGGUCAAUUCCGAUAACGAACGAGACUCUAGCCUGCUCAUUAGGCGGUCGUGGAAACGAGUUUUUCCCGGCCGGCACGCUUCUUAGAGGGACAAGUGCAUGAGACAAAGGCACGCGAGAUUGAGCAAUAACAGGUCUGUGAUGCCCUUAGAUGUCCGGGGCCGCACGCGCGCUACACUGAAGGAAUCAACGAGUGUAAUUUCCCGCUCCGUGAGGAAUGUGGGGAACCCGUUGAACCUCCUUCGUGCUGGGGAUUGGGGCUUGCGAUUGUUGCCCAUGAACGAGGAAUUCCUAGUAAGCGCGAGUCAUCAGCUCGUGUUGAUUGAGUCCCUGCCCUUUGUACACACCGCCCGUCGAUGACACCGACUAACAGAGUGAUGAAUAGGGCGGACUUGGUCACUGUCGACCUCGUGUCGGCGACGUUACCUUGAAAGCCCGGUGAUUCAAGAUUGUUUCGGAAGGUGUCAAAAGUCGUAACAAGGUUUCCGUAGGUGAACCUGC